UACGGAAGGUGCAAGCGUUAAUCGGAAUUACUGGGCGUAAAGCGUGCGCAGGCGGCGCGUUAAGACAGGUGUGAAAGCCCCGAGCUUAACUUGGGAAUUGCGCUUGUGACUGGCGUGCUGGAGUGUGGCAGAGGGAGGUGGAAUUCCACGUGUAGCAGUGAAAUGCGUAGAGAUGUGGAGGAACACCGAUGGCGAAGGCAGCCUCCUGGGCCAGCACUGACGCUCAUGCACGAAAGCGUGGGGAGCAAACAGG
rnacentral:rRNA from 1 species